rnacentral:lncRNA from 1 species
UCUCCCCCCCCCAAAAAAAUGCCUUUUAACUUAAUCCUUUAAACAAGGGAUCUAAAAAUGACCUUCACAGGAAUCUUCACUAGACUGCAGGAGUCCUUGAGAUGAAAGAAAAGUCAGCGGUACAUUUAUUUGUAGUCAACAGACUGCUCGCUUUACUUUUCAGCCUGAACAUAGCAGACAACAAAGUGUUCAGCCAUCUUUCUGUCAAGCUCUGCCUGAACGGUAAUGGGGACAUGAAACCAUUACUGCCAUAUCGAUCCUGCAACUAGCGGUGUGCAUUGUCCUCUGUGUAAUAAGACUGACAGAAAACAGAAAUAAAAGACACUGAAGGCACAGGCAGAGACACUGGGAAUUAAUUUCCGGGAAUACAAAUGCUAAAUAAUUUUGCCUGACCUUGUUACUGGAAAACUACCGGUCUGCUUCUAUGCAUCCCGCUCGGUUUUCUCACCACAAGCCAUUCUGCAAAGAAAACAAGCAAGUGGGCCCUGGUUACAAGCAGCGAAUUAAUACAAGCGGCCCCGAAGAGAAAAAUAAAUCUGCAGUGUUGAUCUUUAAAGGGGAGGCUUCAGACAUGCCAGAGGAACUACUGGAUGGUAUAUACGUUGGAACUGUUACAACACUGAAGUGUCUGAAGGGGCCAAUUCUGUUGCAGCACAAGAGCGAAUCUGUGCUCCCGGAGGCAGUGGUUCCAGACACCCUACAGAUGUUUGAGAAGACGGGUUGGGGGGGUUUGGGCAGUCUGUUGUGUUCUGUAAAGCCGUCCAUCAGAUGAAGGGAGACCUCUGACCCUGUGAGCGUCCAUCCGCUGGGAUACAGGAAGGCAUCGACGAGCCAUAUGCCAUCUCCCAGGAUACACCCAGAAGGCGCAGCAAUAAUCAAAACUACAUUAGGACACUGAUAGAAUUUUUUGCAUGGGAUGAGGACAGUACAGAGUGUGUUAAGUGUUGCAAUAGGGGAUUAUAUCAGAAUGAGAAACACCAGACAUCUUCAAAACUGAAAAAUACUACCUCAAUUGUUAAUUAAAAUGAGGUGAUCUUUGUUCAGCUGAGCCACAGACUGAUCAGUGCUGUGGUGGAAGUGUGUGUGUACACAUGCAGGGUUUGCUUUCAAAGCACCGCAGUGUAGCUGUCCUCAUUAUAUUCCUCGAUAGUAAACGGGCUUAGAUUACAUCUGUUGUUUUACAACAUUUUCCUGCCCAGGUUUAGUCCAUUUUGAACUGAUUUCUCAUUUUAUUUUUCUGCAAAUACACCCUAGGUGGUGUUUUUGAACAAUCUUAUCACAGGGAGAGCUAGUCACAGAACUCCACCAUUCUUGUGUCUUCAAAGACGAACAGUUGUUUGCAGUGGCAGUUUUACAUGGGUUAUAUAUUGAACAUGUAGCAUAAUUUAGAGGCUUACAUUACCACAACAAAUACACUUGUUUAAUUUCAUAUUCUGCUUCCUAACACUCGUAAAUUUGUAUUGGGUAAUCCUUGAUAAAACAGCAAGGUGCUGUCGUGCCUUUUAACAUCUUUUGUGCUUUUGGCUGAUUAUGUUCAAUAAUAGGCUACGGCACAAGUUUCUUUUUUUUUAAAGGCUCUUUGUCAGAGCAUCUGGAAGGGUUGGUCAACUUACAUCAAUACAAAUUUCACUGAACAUAUGGAAAACUAAAUUUAUCCCUCAAGUACAGGAAAAUAGUCAUACCAGCUGUGUGUGUGUGCUAUCAAGCGUGGUUUCGGCAUCUUCUAAGAUUUUAAAAUAGUGUUAAUACAGACAAUUAUGUUACACAUCACUCCCAUAAAUGUCUCUUCAAUCUCAGGUGUAUUUAUCAGAUAUGGGUCUCAUGCUGUUUGAGAUAUCUUGGGCCUGUCAGUAUCUCUUUUUAAGUAGCAGAACAAGCUCGCCAAGUGCUUCUUCACGCCAGUACUUCACUGCCACUCAUUCUCAAAACCGUACAGCUCGCAGUGCGGCGCGUGAGCGCGGUACAAGAAUCAACGGCGGAGACGGGCUUUUUUUCCCCAGAGUGGCGCUUGGCAUCCGGGCUUCCAGAGAGUAUGUAGGUCAAGCUGCAGCGCAUAUUGCUGCUAUACAGUACGUGUGAGUGGAGCAGUCGUCCCUCCGCGCGCUGGAAUCCCUCUUCACAGCCGUAAUCGGUGGGACAGGCUGUGGA